rnacentral:tRNA from 1 species
CCCUGGGUGGUACAAAUGGAUAAUACACUUGGCUGCUAACCAAAAGAUUGGUGGUUGGAGUCCACCCAAAGGCA